CGGGCCAGGGGCGGAACAGCGGAAGGGCCCUGUACAGGCCGGCGGCGGGGGCGAGGUCCCGCGCGGAGGCACCCUGGGCAACGGCGGGCGGGGCCCGCACGCCCACGAGAGGUGCCCCAGCCGCGAGCGCGAGGCCGAUCCAGGAGCAGACGGUGGCUGGCGGGACCCGCGCGGGCGCUUGGAGCGUGGUGACCCCAGACACCGGCGUGCGAGGCGCCCAUGCAGCCUGCGCGGCCAGGCAGCGGCGAGCGUGAGGCGCCCCCUGCGCGGCCAGGCAGCUGCGGGCGUGAGGCUCUAGCGGGAAGCGGCAAGGAUUCACUGCAGUACUGAGCUCAACAUGGAAGAGGCUAGGUUAAGACUAGUGGACCAAAGCAUACUUGUGGUUCAGUCAACAAUUAUGGUGAAACAAUAGCCUCAAAUAAAUGGGUAGCUAAUAGAGUGGUGGAUUUAUUGCGGGAACAGCCAGAAAUAGGACCAAGAGAGCUGCAGGAUAGGCUAAAGAAAAAGUGCUGCCCAGUUUUUUUUUGCUGAAACAGGGUAAAGUUAGAAAAGUACUUUGAAUAGUAGGGGCAAAACUGCAUGGGCAAUCUUAUCUUUUCAUAGCAUUUUUGACACCAUUAAUUGCUCUUCACAGAAUAGGGGCAAACUGUUUCUUCAUUUUGAAAAAAACAAGGGCAAAUUCGCAAAGUUAGAAAAAUAAGGGCAAAAUCACCAUUAGCCGUCAAAACAGAGGCACAACGCAAAACCCUUUUUUUUUAUGGGAAGCACAUUCAGCCAUUUAUGCAGCGUCUGACGCCUGAAGAUCCAUUCACAAAGAUGGCAUGCUUUUCACGAGUUUGGGACUUGAGAGCGCGCACUACUGCGGAAGGGGGCGGUCAAAUGGAGCACAUACAAUGGACGACCACAUACUCGAUUUGCAACCUGUGAAGGCCGGCGGAUAACACUAGCACUAUGUGAAUCUUCAGAAGAUAGCUCUCAAACUACUGAAAAGACACCACUGACAGUCUGACACAUUGGACUGAUCCAAUCGGGUGGAUCACAGGGACAUUUAACCUAAAAAGAUUGUGGCCGGUGACUGGGUUCGUAGCCUGCUCCAUCAUCAUCCGAUUGUUGAUUAGACCUUCAUGACCUACCGUGGGGUUAUUAAGUGGUUAAAGAGGCUGCUAAUAAGGAAUAUCUUUAGUUAGGAUAUUGCCUUUUUAGUAAAAUUUGAGUGAGAUGGGAAAUGGGAGUUAAGGGACCCAAUUACCAACCGUCACUUAUCAGGGGGAGUGGGUUAAAUUGUGGUUUAAGUGGAAUAUCGACAUA